UGCGUAGGCGGAUAUUAAGGUCAGAUGUGAAAGCCCAGGGCUCAACCCUGGAACUGCAUUUGAAACCGGAUAUCUAGAAUGUGAUAGAGGAUAAUGGAAUUUCUAGUGUAGCGAUGAAAUGCGUAGAUAUUAGAAGGAACACCAGAGGCGAAGGCGAUUAUCUGGGUCACUAUUGACGCUGAGGCACGAAAGUGUGGGUAGCAAACAGGAUUAGAUACCCUGGUAGUCC
rnacentral:rRNA from 1 species